GGCCUAGAUGGAGCGAAAAGGGCGCUGCUACGCCCCUUAUCGAAUAUUCACACGCAUGAGGCCACUGGUUCGAGUCCAGUAGUCUCCACCA
rnacentral:tRNA from 1 species